AACGAACGCUGGCGGCAGGCCUAACACAUGCAAGUCGAGCGCGCCCUUCGGGGUGAGCGGCGGACGGGUGAGUAACGCGUGGGAACGUGCCCUUUUCUACGGAAUAGCCUCGGGAAACUGAGAGUAAUACCGUAUACGCCCUUUGGGGGAAAGAUUUAUCGGAAAAGGAUCGGCCCGCGUUGGAUUAGGUAGUUGGUGGGGUAAUGGCCUACCAAGCCGACGAUCCAUAGCUGGUUUGAGAGGAUGAUCAGCCACACUGGGACUGAGACACGGCCCAGACUCCUACGGGAGGCAGCAGUGGGGAAUCUUAGACAAUGGGGGCAACUCUGAUCUAGCCAUGCCGCGUGAGUGGUGAAGGCCUUAGGGUUGUAAAGCUCUUUCAGCUGGGAAGAUAAUGACGGUACCAGCAGAAGAAGCCCCGGCUAACUCCGUGCCAGCAGCCGCGGUAAUACGGAGGGGGCUAGCGUUGUUCGGAAUUACUGGGCGUAAAGCGCACGUAGGCGGACCAGAAAGUUGGGGGUGAAAUCCCGGGGCUCAACCUCGGAACUGCCCUCAAAACUAUUGGUCUGGAGUUCGAGAGAGGUGAGUGGAAUUCCGAGUGUAGAGGUGAAAUUCGUAGAUAUUCGGAGGAACACCAGUGGCGAAGGCGGCUCACUGGCUCGAUACUGACGCUGAGGUGCGAAAGCGUGGGGAGCAAACAGG
rnacentral:rRNA from 1 species